GCAUGUAUUGAUUCUGUGCGUGAGUGGCUGUAUGUGUGUUGAGUGUGGGCGUGCGUACAGAGGCGUGUGUAUGCAUGUGUGCGCGCGCUUCAAACAUAGUGUUUGCACACUCGUGUGUUUGAAAAUUAUAUUAUUUGAAACCCAUGUGUUGUAUUUUUGUUUUUCAUAAUCCAGUCAAGCUGCUUUAAUUACCUCGCAUCGCCUCUCUCUUGCGGCACGGGGAACCCCUCCGGCUCCGCCACCUUCCCUUC
rnacentral:lncRNA from 1 species